rnacentral:rRNA from 1 species
UACGAAGGGGGCUAGCGUUGCUCGGAAUUACUGGGCGUAAAGCGUGCGCAGGCGGUUUACUAAGACAGGUGUGAAAUCCCCGGGCUUAACCUGGGAAUGGCGCUUGUGACUGGUAGGCUAGAGUACGUCAGAGGGGGGUGGAAUUCCACGUGUAGCAGUGAAAUGCGUAGAGAUGUGGAGGAACACCGAUGGCGAAGGCAGCCCCCUGGGAUGAUACUGACGCUCAGGCACGAAAGCGUGGGGAGCAAACAGG